GAUGAACGCUGGCGGCGUGCCUAACACAUGCAAGUCGAGCGAAAAGACGAGGCGCUUGCUCCGCGGACGUUAGCCGCAGACGGGAGUGAAACACGUGGAUAACCUACCUAUAAGACUGGGAUAACUUCGGGAAACCGGAGCUAAUACCGGAUAAUAUAUUGAAGCGCAUGGUUCAAUGGUGAAAGACGGUUUUUCUGUCACUUAUAGAUGGAUCUGCGCCGGAUUAGCUAGUUGGUAAGGUAAAGGGUUACCAAGGCAACGAUGCGUAUGCGACUGGAGAGGCUGGUCGGCCACACUGGAGCUGGACCACGGUCCAUAGUCCUACGGUAGGCAGCAGUCUGGAACCGUACGCAAUGGGCGAAAGCCUGGCACAGCGGCCCGGCGUCAGUGAUGACGGUGCCGCGUUCGUAAUGCUCGCUUUCUGGUGGUAAACCAAUGUGUACGGAACUAUGCCCGUCUUGACGGUACCUAAUCAAAAAGCCCCGGCUAACUACGUG
rnacentral:rRNA from 1 species